CAAGUAAUUAAGUGCAUGUGGUGGAUGCCUUGGCAGUCAGAGGCGAUGAAAGACGUGAUAGCCUGCGAAAAGCUCCGGGGAGGCGGCAAAUAUCCUUUGAUCCGGAGAUGUCUGAAUGGGGGAACCCACCUACUUUAAGGUAGGUAUUGCAACAUGAAUACAUAGUGUUGCAAGGCGAACGAGGGGAAGUGAAACAUCUCAGUACCCUUAGGAAAAGAAAUCAAUUGAGAUUCCCUCAGUAGCGGCGAGCGAACGGGGAUCAGCCCAUUAAGUUAUGUGUGUUUUAGUGGAACGCUCUGGGAAGUGCGAACGUAGAGGGUGAUAUUCCCGUACACGAAAGGGCACACAUAAUGAUGACGAGUAGGGCGAGGCACGUGAAACCUUGUCUGAAUAUGGGGGGACCAUCCUCCAAGGCUAAAUACUCCUGACUGACCGAUAGUGAACCAGUACCGUGAGGGAAAGGCGAAAAGAACCCCUGUGAGGGGAGUGAAAUAGAUCCUGAAACCGCAUGCAUACAAGCAGUGGGAGCACCUUCGUGGUGUGACUGCGUACCUUUUGUAUAAUGGGUCAGCGACUUAUAUUCAGUAGCGAGGUUAACCGUAUAGGGGAGCCGUAGAGAAAUCGAGUCUUAAUAGGGCGUUUAGUUGCUGGGUAUAGACCCGAAACCAGGCGAUCUAUCCAUGAGCAGGUUGAAGGUUGGGUAACACUAACUGGAGGACCGAACCCACUGUCGUUGAAAAGCCAGGGGAUGACUUGUGGAUAGGGGUGAAAGGCUAAUCAAGCCUGGUGAUAGCUGGUUCUCCCCGAAAGCUAUUUAGGUAGCGCCUCGGACGAAUACCAUAGGGGGUAGAGCACUGUUUCGGCUAGGGGGUCAUCCCGACUUACCAAACCGAUGCAAACUCCGAAUACCUAUGAGUACUAUCCGGGAGACAGACUGCGGGUGCUAACGUCCGUAGUCAAGAGGAAAACAAUCCAGACCGCCAGCUAAGGCCCCAAAAUCAUAGUUAAGUGGGAAACGAUGUGGGAAGGCAUAGACAGCUAGGAGGUUGGCUUAGAAGCAGCCACCCUUUAAAGAAAGCGUAAUAGCUCACUAGUCGAGUCGGCCUGCGCGGAAGAUGUAACGGGGCUAAAACUAUGUGCCGAAGCUGCGGAUGUAUACUUUGUAUACGUGGUAGGGGAGCGUUCUGUAAGCCGAUGAAGGUGUGUUGAGAAGCAUGCUGGAGGUAUCAGAAGUGCGAAUGCUGACGUGAGUAACGACAAAACGGGUGAAAAACCCGUUCGCCGAAAGACCAAGGGUUCCAGUCCAACGUUAAUCGGGGCUGGGUGAGUCGACCCCUAAGGCGAGGCCGAAAGGCGUAGUCGAUGGGAAAAUGGUUAAUAUUCCAUUACUUCUGUGUAAUGCGAUGAGAGGACGGAGAAGGCUAAAUCAGCCUGGCGUUGGUUGUCCAGGUGAAAGGAUGUAGGCAUGUAUCUUAGGCAAAUCCGGGGUACUCUAUGCUGAGAUCUGAUAGCAAGCUGUACUUGUACAGCGAAGUGGUUGAUGCCAUGCUUCCAGGAAAAGUCUCUAAGCUUCAGUUACACAGGAAUCGUACCCGAAACCGACACAGGUGGUCAGGUCGAGUAGACCAAGGCGCUUGAGAGAACUCUGCUGAAGGAACUAGGCAAAAUGGUACCGUAACUUCGGGAGAAGGUACGCUGUUGUUGGUGAUGGAACUCGCUUCCUGAGCUGACGACAGCCGCAGAAACCAGGCCGCUGCAACUGUUUAUUAAAAACAUAGCACUCUGCAAACACGAAAGUGGACGUAUAGGGUGUGAUGCCUGCCCGGUGCUGGAAGGUUAAUUGAUGGGGUUAGCGUAAGCGAAGCUCUUGAUCGAAGCCCCAGUAAACGGCGGCCGUAACUAUAACGGUCCUAAGGUAGCGAAAUUCCUUGUCGGGUAAGUUCCGACCUGCACGAAUGGCAUAAUGAUGGCGGCGCUGUCUCCAGCAGAGGCUCAGUGAAAUCGAAAUCGCUGUGAAGAUGCAGUGUACCCGCGGCUAGACGGAAAGACCCCGUGAACCUUUACUGCAGCUUGACACUGAACUUUGACCUUACUUGUGUAGGAUAGGUGGGAGGCUUUGAAGCUGGAACGCUAGUUCCAGUGGAGCCGUCCUUGAAAUACCACCCUGGUAAUGUUGAGGUUCUAACUCUGUCCCGUGAUCCGGGACGAGGACCGUGUCUGGUGGGUAGUUUGACUGGGGCGGUCUCCUCCUAAAGAGUAACGGAGGAGUACGAAGGUGCGCUCAGCGUGGUCGGAAAUCACGCGUAGAGUAUAAAGGCAAAAGCGCGCUUAACUGCGAGACCCACAAGUCGAGCAGGUACGAAAGUAGGUCUUAGUGAUCCGGUGGUUCUGUAUGGAAGGGCCAUCGCUCAACGGAUAAAAGGUACUCUGGGGAUAACAGGCUGAUACCGCCCAAGAGUUCAUAUCGACGGCGGUGUUUGGCACCUCGAUGUCGGCUCAUCUCAUCCUGGGGCUGAAGCAGGUCCCAAGGGUAUGGCUGUUCGCCAUUUAAAGAGGUACGCGAGCUGGGUUUAGAACGUCGUGAGACAGUUCGGUCCCUAUCUACCGGGGGCGCUGGAAAUUUGAGAGGAUCUGCUCCUAGUACGAGAGGACCAGAGUGGACGAACCUCUGGUGUACCGGUUGUGACGCCAGUCGCAUCGCCGGGUAGCUAUGUUCGGAAGGGAUAACCGCUGAAAGCAUCUAAGCGGGAAGCCUACCUCAAGAUAAGAUUUCCCUAGGACUUUAUGUCCUCUAAAGAGCCGUUCGAGACUAGGACGUUGAUAGGUUGGAUGUGGAAGCAUAGUGAUAUGUGAAGCUGACCAAUACUAAUUGCUCGUGAGGCUUGACUA
rnacentral:rRNA from 2 species